UGUAUAUAGUAUACGCAUGUAUAAAGAACGCUUAACUGUAAACUGGCCUUAAAAUCUCAAAGUCAGAACAGUUUGCUAUAUAUGGUUGCGAUAGGGAGGAGGAAUUGGGGGUACAAUAUAGCUCUAUAUAUACGAGAGUGGUAAACGGGGUUCGAAUCAGGGUUACCAUUACCAUUUCGUGUCAAGGAACAUGAGUUAACAGUUUGAGAUAAUCAGUGUUCAGAAUAGUCAGCUAGAUAUGUUAGGACUGCAUGAGGUUAGAGUUGGGUUAUGCCAGGCUCUUAUACAUGUAUAGUACUUAUAUAUCCUUUACACG